rnacentral:tRNA from 1 species
GGGGUCAUAGCUCAGUUGGUAGAGCAUCUCGUUCGCAAUGAGAAGGUCUGGGGUUCGAAUCCCCAUGGCUCCACCA